rfam:Rhizobium sp. PDO1-076 strain PDO-076 ctg8, whole genome shotgun sequence.
AGCUGAUGCAUAUGGUGGCUUUUUCCUCCCAGUUCCACCGCAGCAGCUGUUCCCCUCUGGAGGUUUUUGACCUUCACACUUUAAAGGGCCCUGGAUUUUUCCAGUGGCCCUCUUUU